rnacentral:rRNA from 1 species
AUUGAACGCUGGCGGCAUGCCUAACACAUGCAAGUCGAGCGGAGCGGCGGACGGGUGAGUAAUGUCUAGGAAUCUGCCCGGUAGUGGGGGAUAACGUCCGGAAACGGUCGCUAAUACCGCAUACUAUCAGAUCAGCCUAGGUCGGAUUAGCUAGUUGGUGGGGUAAAGGCCUACCAAGGCGACGAUCCGUAACUGGUCUGAGAGGAUGAUCAGUCACACUGGGACUGAGACACGGCCCAGACUCCUACGGGAGGCAGCAGUGGGGAAUAUUGGACAAUGGGCGAAAGCCUGAUCCAGCCAUGCCGCGUGUGUGAAGAAGGUCUUCGGGUUGUAAAGCACUUGUAGUAGGGAAGCGGUACCAACAGAAUAAGCACCGGCUAACUACGUGCCAGCAGCCGCGGUAAUAC